rnacentral:rRNA from 1 species
GAUGAACGCUGGCGGCGUGCCUAAUACAUGCAAGUCGAGCGGACGGACGCGAAUCUUGCUUCUCUGAUGUUAGCGGCGGGCGGGAGAGUAACACGUGGAUAACCUACCUAUAAGACUGGGAUAACUUCGGGAAACCGGAGCUAAUACCGGAUAAUAUUUUGAACCGCAUGGUUCAAAAGUGAAAGACGGUCGUGCUGUCACUUCUAGAUGGAUCCGCGCUGCAUUAGCUAGUUGGUAAGGUAACGGCUUACCAAGGCAACGAUGCAUAGCCGACCUGAGAGAGUGAUCGGCCACACGGGUACUGAGACACGGUCCAGACGCCUACGGGAGGCAGCAGUAGGGAAUCUUCGGCAAUGGGCGAAAGCCUGACGGAGCAACGCCGCGCGAGUGAUGAAGGUCUUCGGAUCGUAAAACUCUGUUAUUAGGGAAGAACAGAUGUGUAAGUAACUGUGCACAUCUUGACGGUACCUAAUCAGAAAGCCCCGGCUAACUACGUG